rnacentral:rRNA from 1 species
UACAGAGGGUGCGAGCGUUAAUCGGAAUUACUGGGCGUAAAGCGCACGUAGUCGGCUUUGCAAGUCGGUUGUGAAAUCCCCGGGCUCAACCUGGGAACUGCAUCCGAGACUGCAUUGCUAGAGUAUGGGAGAGGAAAGCGGAAUUUCUGGUGUAGCAGUGAAAUGCGUAGAUAUCAGAAGGAACAUCAGUGGCGAAGGCGGCUUUCUGGACCAAUACUGACGAUCAGGUGCGAAAGCUAGGGUAGCAAACGGG